rnacentral:rRNA from 1 species
UACAUCGGAACGUGCCCAAUCGUGGGGGAUAACGUAGCGAAAGCUACGCUAAUACCGCAUACGAUCUACAGAUGAAAGCGGGGGAUCGCAAGACCUCGCGCGAAUGGAGCGGCCGAUGGCAGAUUAGGUAGUUGGUGGGGUAAAGGCUCACCAAGCCUGCGAUCUGUAGCUGGUCUGAGAGGACGACCAGCCACACUGGGACUGAGACACGGCCCAG